CACAAGAGUCCUUGAGCCGGCCACUUCUGAAGACAUUUGCUGCAGACAAGAUUCACUCAGAGUAAGGGCGGUCGUUUGCUAUGAGGAGACCAAGAUUUUCCAGGUGAGAAGUAAUUGAAAUCUCGCCCCCAGCUCCCUGGGAGUCUAAGUUGGGGUCGGCUGAGCCAAACCCCAGCGACAGAGAGCAGGUUAAGUAAGAUUAAGGGGUAGGUGGGCGGACGGCUGCCAGCAUAACGGACGCCAACUGGGGCCCGUGUGUCCUCCUGUCUCGCGGGUCCGACUCAGCACUGGACGCGCAGCAAAUCAGUCCUCUGUCGUCAAGGGCUUUGCAACGAGUAGAUAUUGUUGAAUAAUCAUUAGGACCAGGUGCCUCCAUGCUCUGUUUCUCCCCAGACAAUCAUGAAAAGCCUUUACCCAGCACCCCCGAGACGAACUCUCCUUUCACAAAUCCUAACUCAGGAGCGCACCUCCUGUUCCAAGCACCUGCCUCCACCUUCCAGGUGAGCUAUGACAUUGUCCCAGUGGCCCCCGUAGGUGCGGGCUGCUCUGUGACUGCUUCUGGAUCACUGUCCCCUCAGCGCCCCCCCUCCACCCCGUGAGUGAGUUACCCUCUAAUGCACUGGCCCAGGGUCAUUCGGAGCGGCCGGCCUCGUUUUCGGGCUCAGUAUGCCUUCGCAGUUGGUGGCUCUUCCAUUCCCUACCUCCUCCGACGGCGGCGCUGCACCCCGCCUCCUGGCAGGGCCUGAUUUGAGAAGAGAGCUGGUGUUUACUCAGGCUUUGGCUCGGGAGGAAAGCCCCUCGGUUUCCACCUACCCUGCAACUGUGCUAUGCUUGGCGGUACGAGAGCCGGGAACACGAGGUCUCAUUGGUCAUGAGACAUCACCGCAGCUGGGACGGGGCCCUGAAUCAGCAGGGCCAUCCCUGCAACACAGAUAAAUUCCACCAGUCAGACUCAGUGGGACCGGCCCUCACUAAGAACCCGGCCUGGGGACACAGGAGCCGCUGCACCUGGGGCAGAUUUCGGACGUUUCCCGGGACCUGCAGGGAGAAGGGAGCCUUGGGAGGAACUUUUCCGAGGUCUCUUCCGAAUCAGCACCAUGAAGUUAUUUUGCCUUUUCGUCUUUGUGGCCUUCUUCACCUGCCAAGUGAUGCCAGGUUAUGAGCACAGCGAAACGCUUCGUUUCUGUGACUCACAUACAAGUGUGUGCCUGAGGAGAAAGAGAAAUUGCAUUAUUCGCAGGCCAGGGCUAUGCCCUGGGAGGAGCUUCUGCUGCACAAGGAUAAAGUGAGCUGAAAAAUCCACGUUUGGUGGAACGACCCUGAAUGGGGUGCAUUGGCGAGUUCACGUUUAAUGGAUUAUCCUUGAA